UGUGGAUAGCUAUUUGUCUUGGCACAGGAA
rnacentral:piRNA from 1 species